UUUUUUUUCAUCUCUCAGAGGGUCUGUUUCUCAAUUUUGACAAUGUGGAUUUUCAUUUGGUAAUGUCUCAGCUGUGACAUCCCAGGAUUCCCUCAUUAACAUUGGGAAAAACUCCCUGGCCCAUAGGUAGAGCCUAGGGAAGCCAGAGGCUUUCUGCUUCAAAUUUCUGCAGCUUGGAGAACCAGUGUCUGUUGGAGGUCAGCUAUGAGUGGGCAGGGGGGUGGUGCAUGGCAGCAGGGACUGUUGCUGCAGUAGUGAACCCUUUCACAACAGCACUGUUUUGUCAUUUUGCACCCAGAUUUCCGUUGGCUAACCUCAGCCUUAUCUUCCUCAUUUCUGUUUCCUCUUGAAGACACCAAAAGCCCUUCAAAACACACAACCUUCCUGCUCCAGGCAAAAAGCCCAGUUACCUCUGGCCUCUGCAGUUUGGCUCAUCAUCAGGGAACCUUUGCCUCCUCUGACACCAAGGCACUACUCCAGUAACAGUCAGAAAAGGGCUUUCAGGAGGCUGCAGACACCGCCAGUUUAUCCACGUCUUCUCACUGGAGCUGGUAGCCAAUGAGGCUCCAGGGACUGAGCCAAGUUGCCUGUGACCAUCUAUAUAGGAAGCUCUGGAAAGCUCACCAAACACUUUAACAAGUCUGCCAGGUAAGUCUUCUUGGCCCCAUUUCCAGAGAAGACAACUGAAGCUCAAAGAAAGACUUGCCCAAUGCCAUGAUUGUCUAGUUGGUACCCAAGGCAGCAUUAGACCCCAAGUUUGUAUGAUUCUUCCCACUCUACCAUAUAUGGUGGCCAAGGUUGUUGCUUUGGCUGAAAGAACCACACUUCUGGGUAGCUUGAGGUGGAUUAAAUAGGUAAGGGAAGUGAGAGGAUAGGAAAAACUCUUUACAGCUUUAUAUUUGAAGUCACUCCCAGAUCUCAAAUUGAAGAAGCAUGUCACCCCCUCACCAACAUAUAUUAAACUAAAAGCAUUCCUGUUUCAUCUCUCCUGACCCUGUUAAAUUGUCAAUGGCCCUUGCUUUCCCUCUGGUAGCACAACCACAAUUUUUUAAACAUUU
rnacentral:lncRNA from 1 species